rnacentral:lncRNA from 1 species
UUCUUCGCUGGAAGGUGAGAGAGGGGUGCUUGUAGUCAUGGUUGCCCAAAUUGUGAGUUUUCGUUCAUGGAUGUCGCGUGGGUAGCAACCCUGGUUCAAGUCUCUUAUGAUUUGAUUUAUAAUCAUCUCGAUUGAGACAUCGAUUUUGUCGCCUUGAGUCGGAAGCUUUCUUCAUCGUUCUCAAGUAAGAUAUUAGCUUCAUCGGUCUCGAGCAAGACAUCGAGUUCAUGUAAAUAUCAUCAUAUGAAAACGAGCUCUUACCCUCAUUCAUCAGUAU